rnacentral:precursor_RNA from 1 species
AAUGGGUAUAUGUCUAGUGCCACAGUGAAUUAUUUCUGUGACUAGAUCUACACUCAUUG